UACGUAGGGGGCGAGCGUUGUCCGGAUUUAUUGGGCGUAAAGAGCGUGUAGGCGGCCAGGUAGGUCCGUUGUGAAAACUCGAGGCUCAACCUCGAGACGUCGAUGGAAACCAUCUGGCUAGAGUCCGGAAGAGGGGAGUGGAAUUCCUGGUGUAGCGGUGAAAUGCGCAGAUAUCAGGAAGAACACCUAUGGCGAAGGCAGCUCUCUGGGACGGUACUGACGCUGAGUCGCGAAAGCGUGGGGAGCGAACAGG
rnacentral:rRNA from 1 species